CCUUCCAUAGCUGGCUGUAGUGACAAGCACAGGUCUCGGUCUCUAGCUCUGCCCCUACUUUUUCCUAUACUCAGUCACAGACACGUAAAGGAGGUGCCACAUCCAGGUCCAUUGCACUGUCAGGCUCUGAUCCUUCUCUUUGAUUGGAUCUGGUGCCUUCCCUCCCACUCUGUUGGGGGUAGAGUGUCCUCUCUGGUCAUUCUAGACAGAGCCACAGUGUCUGCUGCCAUGGACUGUACCGGAACUUACACAGCACAGCUUACUCAGUGGGCAGUGCUCCCAUGGUCCACAGAAUGAAGAGUCAGGUCAGGCCAACCCCUUGUAGUACCCUGUAGGGGGCUGUCAGCAUUGGAUCUCUAAGCAGUUAGUACCCCCCAUCCACUCGAGUCAGCCUCAUCAGACACCCAGGGCUGGGGUCAGCUUCAGACCUUCAGACACAGCCCCAGCAGCCCUGGCAGCUGGUCAACUACCGGCAGCUCCAAGCUGGCGUUUUCCAUGAAUGACCCAUUUGUUUGUAAAGUGGGCAGUUUGUUUUUCAUAAGUAUUCAUGAAACUUUCCAGAACCAGCCUGCCUUAACCCAGACUGAAAUAUUUUUAGAUAUUUUAAACGAAAUCCCUUUGAUCCCUCUUGGGGUUAGAAAAAGGUGGCAAAUGCCCACAGUUUUCAAACCAAACUGUUUGUGCCUUAAGAGUAGAGAAUCUGGAGGUUGGAGAGAUGGUUCAGUGGUUAAGAGCACUGACUGCUCUUCCGGAGGUCCUGAGUUCAAAUCCCAGCAACCACAUGGUGGCUCACAACCAUCUGUAUGUAGUGAGAUCUGAUGCCCUCUUUUGGUGUGUCUGAAGACAGCUAUAGUACACAUAUAAAUAAAAUAAAUAUUUAAAAUAAAAAAAGAGUAGAGAA
rnacentral:lncRNA from 1 species